GGGCCCGUAGCUCAGACUGGGAGAGCGCUGCCCUUGCAAGGCAGAGGCCCCGGGUUC
rnacentral:tRNA from 1 species